GCAGAUAUGGCUCAGCAGUUGAGAGCCUGCUCUAGCAGAGGACCUGGGUUCAAAUCCCAGCACUCGCC
rnacentral:tRNA from 1 species